AUACGUAGGUGGCGAGCGUUGUCCGGAAUUAUUGGGCGUAAAGCGCGCGCAGGCGGUCCCUUAAGUCUGAUGUGAAAGCCCACGGCUCAACCGUGGAGGGUCAUUGGAAACUGGGUGACUUGAGUGCAGAAGAGGAGAGCGGAAUUCCACGUGUAGCGGUGAAAUGCGUAGAGAUGUGGAGGAACACCAGUGGCGAAGGCGGCUCUCUGGUCUGUAACUGACGCUGAGGCGCGAAAGCGUGGGGAGCAAACAGGAUUAGAUACCCUGGUAGUCCACGCCGUAAACGAUGAGUGCUAAGUGUUAGAGGGGUUAAACCCCUUAGUGCUGUAGCUAACGCGUUAAGCACUCCGCCUGGGGAGUACGGCCGCAAGGCUGAA
rnacentral:rRNA from 1 species